CUCUUUACUCAUUUCUACCAUGCUGCCUCAGUAUUACGAAAAUGUCAAAACACUAAGGUGAUGUCCAGCAUCAAAACACAGUUGGUCAUAACUGAUAAAAGGUUAUGUCUUGAUUGAACAAGCUUCCAGGAGUUGGAAGGCCAAAAGGGCUGCUGUAAAA